CGGGGUCAGGGCGGGGUCAGGAUGGGCACCAGCAGCCGCAGCGCCCCCGAUAACAGCACAGGUGACCCCUCCAGGUGUAUCCAGGUGCGCCCAGGUGUGCCCAGGUGUGCCCAGGUGGGUCAGGGCGGGGUCAGGAUGGGCACCAGCAGCCGCAGCGCCCCCGAUAACGGCACAGGUGACCCCUCCAGGUGUAUCCAGGUGUUCUCAGGUGUAUCCAGGUGUGCCCAGGUGGGUCAGGGCGGGGUCAGGGCGGGGUCAGGAUGGGCACCAGCAGCCGCAGCGCCCCCGAUAACGGCACAGGUGACCCCUCCAGGUGUAUCCAGGUGUUCUCAGGUGUAUCCAGGUGUGCCCAGGUGUAUCCAGGUGCCUCCAGGUGUAUCCAGGUGUGCCCAGGUGUGCCCAGGUGGGUCAGGGCGGGGUCAGGAUGGGCACCAGCAGCC